AUUAAUCACUCUUAAAUCACGUCUUUUCACAAGUUCACAAAAACAACAAUAUAAUGGCUAAACGCAGAUAUUUUUCAUGGCUACUCAAGCUCAAUUAAAUUAUAUUGGCUUCAAAAGGUUCCUUCUCAUUUACAAGCCCCCGAAAAAGAAAUUAAAAAACACAGUAUUUUAAUCGUUUUCUAUUGAGAUAAUUCAUUUUACUCGAUCUUUAUUUUGCAACAAAUAAUCAAUUUUUAUCAUUGUUGAUUUUUUUUAAUAGUUUAUCACAUUCCGGAUGAAAAUUAAAUAUAAAGAAAUAAUGGGAAAAACUUCCUUCAUGAAAGCAUUAUUGAGCAUGGUUUUAUGGAAUGAUUUUUCCUUUAUUAAUUCUGAUUCUAUGCCUUUGCAGAUUAAUACUUUCACUGAUUUGUAUUUUGUCGGAGCGGGUCACAAAAAAGUAUUUUUGACUCAGAACACAUCAUCAGCAUAUACUUUCUAGAAGUGGGUGGGUGUAAUUGUGAAAGAAAGAGGCAACCACCAAUAUUAAAGAAUGCAAUAGCCAUUAAUGAAGGAGGUGCAGGAACAGAACAAAAAUGAAGAAAAUAGAAGGGGUGAUGUAAUCAAUGAGGUUUCUUUGUGUUUUGUUUUCCUAUACUUAGGCAUGUAGUUUGGGAGUUUAUAUGUGUGGAUUGAUCAAGAGAUUAAAGAGUGUUAGAGAGAGCAUAGUAAUCUUGAGUAUUGUUUGAUAGAAUUCUGAAUUUAGUGUUUGUUUGUGUGUAUUUAUCUCUCAUGGAGGUGCACCACUAGUAACCUCAAUCAUCCACUCCACCCAACUAUGGUAUCAUAGCCUAAGAAGCAAAAAUAGAAGGUGUUCUUGAUUUUUUACCCUGAAAUUAUAAUGUUUGAAAGUGUCUUCUGAAUACACCAUUGAAAAGUACUCGACAAGACAAUUGUAACGAGGCAAUAAUCAGCCCAAAAAGAGUCUAGACGAGCCUCUUGAAGUUUCACCGUGAAAAGUCACCUUCGCUGGAGAAGACAAUCUGAAAAAACCAGAUCAGCCAAUUUCUAAAAUUGCAAAACAACCAAUAAGUUUCAUAAAUUUCAGAACACACACUAAAUAUUUCAAAGCCAUCCAAAAUUUUCAUAAAUUUCAUAACAAUUGCUCAUGUUUUUAAAAUUUAAUUACCACCCCCAACAAUUUCAAAAAUUGAAAAUAACCCCAGAAGUUCUAAAGUUUUUAACAAUCUCAGGAAUUGCUACUCUUCCAUAACCAAUAGACCAAAUAUUAGUCUACAUUACAAGAUAAAAAGGAAAGCUCAUGGAGAAGUUCAGAGGUACAAGACUAAGCUUGUCGCAAAAAGGUACAAACAAAAAGAAAGAAUUCACUAUGGGGAAGUCUUUGCCCAAUUACUGGACUUGAGAUCAUUAAAUUAUUGAUUUCACUAGUUACACAGAAGAGAUGGCAGAUUUAUCAGCUAGAUGUGAAAUCAACAUUUUUAAUGGCUUUCUUGAAAAAGGAAUCUAUAUUAAUCACCCACUGGAUAUGUGAAAAAAGGCCAUAAAAUAUGGUGUACAAGCUAAAGAAAGCCUAUGGGUUAAGUGCAUGGAAUAACAGGAUCAAUUGACUAUUUUAUGAACAACGGGCUUGAGAAGUGUCCGAAUGAACAUGUACUAUAAUUGAAUAGAAGAAGGAAGUUGAUACUUAUAUGUUGAUGUUGAUGAUUUAACCUUCACCGAUAACAAUCCAAAUAUUUUGAUGCUUUCAAGAAGAGCAUGAUCAAAUAAUUCAAAAUAAUAAAUAUAGGCAAGAUUGUGCAUUUUCUUGGAAUAAAAGUUGUGCAAAACAAGAAAGAAAUCUCCAUCUCCCAAACUAGUGGUGUCUUCCUGUAAAACAAAAGGGUAAACCUCAAUAAUUAUCCUUAUAGAUUCAUUGUCGUUCUACUCCUACUCUUAUAAUUUCGAUUUUCCCACUAUAACCCUUGUAGUUUUCAUAAAAUUCCAUUAAUAUUACUCUAAAAGCAAUUGACAAAGAGAUAAAAAGCCUGCUGGAUAGAAACUUACACACCUAAAAGCUCUCGACAACCUGCAGUUUUCGAAGUUCUACUCGUCUCAAAUGAUGACAAUCUACCUCUAGUGUCCAAAAAGAUGUGCCAAGAAUGGUAUUUGAGAGUUUUUCGUGGGUAGGUAAAGGAAGUUCUGGGGUUUUUUAAAGGGCAAGGGGAGAGGUGAAAGAGGAAGGAAGAAGACAGUGAAAUGGGAUUUGAACCGUUGAUCGGUAAGCUAAUGGGCAGU
rnacentral:lncRNA from 1 species